rnacentral:rRNA from 1 species
CCUACGGGGGGCUGCAGUGGGGAAUAUUGCACAAUGGGCGCAAGCCUGAUGCAGCCAUGCCGCGUGUGUGAAGAAGGCCUUCGGGUUGUAAAGCACUUUCAGCGGGGCGGAAGGCGGUGAGGUUAAUAACCUCAUCGAUCGACGUUACCCGCAGAAGAAGCACCGGCUAACUCCGUGCCAGCAGCCGCGGUAAUACGGAGGGUGCAAGCGUUAAUCGGAAUUACUGGGCGUAAAGCGCACGCAGGCGGUCUGUCAAGUCGGAUGUGAAAUCCCCGGGCUCAACCUGGGAACUGCAUUCGAAACUGGCAGGCUAGAGUCUUGUAGAGGGGGGUAGAAUUCCAGGUGUAGCGGUGAAAUGCGUAGAGAUCUGGAGGAAUACCGGUGGCGAAGGCGGCCCCCUGGACAAAGACUGACGCUCAGGUGCGAAAGCGUGGGGAGCAAACAGGAUUAGAUACCCGUGUAGUC